AAUUGGAGGGCAAGUCUGGUGCCAGCAGCCGCGGUAAUUCCAGCUCCAAUAGCGUAUAUUAAAGUUGUUGCAGUUAAAAAGCUCGUAGUUGAAUUUCGGGGUUCUACCGUUGGUCGGGCUUUGUCUGUACUGGCGUGUAGAAUUUCUACCUUCUGGGGAACCAUCAUGUUAUUAAUUUAACGUGGUGGGAAACCAGGACCUUUACCUUGAAAAAAUUAGAGUGUUCAAAGCAGGCUUAUGUCUGAAUACAUUAGCAUGGAAUAAUAGAAUAGGACGGUGGUCCUGUUUUGUUGGUUUCUGAAUCACCGUAAUGAUUAAUAGGGAUAGUUGGGGGCAUUAGUAUUCAAUUGUCAGAGGUGAAAUUCUUGGAUUUAUUGAAGACUAACUUCUGCGAAAGCAUUUGCCAAGGAUGUUUUCAUUAAUCAAGAACGAAAGUUAGGGGAUCGAAGACGAUCAGAUACCGUCGUAGUCUUAACCAUAAACUAUGCCGACUAGGGAUCGGACGAUGUUAACUUUUCUUGACUCGUUCGGCGCCUUACGGGAAACCAAAGUGU
rnacentral:rRNA from 1 species